rnacentral:rRNA from 1 species
CGCUCUUUGCCAAACAUAUAGAAGUAUAAAGAGUCCUGCCUGCCCAGUGACUUAUAGUUAAACGGCCGCGGUAUCUUGACCGUGCGAAGGUAGCAUAAUCAUUUGUCUCCUAAAUAGAGACUAGUAUGAACGGCAAGACGGAACUAAACUGUCUCCUUUCUCUUUAUCUGAAACUCACUUUCCCGUGAAGAGGCGGGAAUAAUCUCGCUAGACGAGAAGACCCUGUCGAGCUGGAGUAAAAGACAAAACCAUUAAAAUCUUUCUGAGCGCUAAUUACUUACUAGUUCUACGACCAAGAAGACUAUUGCCUUUUGUAAACAACUUUGGUUGGGGCAACCGCGUAGAAAAAUCACCCUACGCUAUUAAAACCUCUAAAGAGGCUUAAGUAAAGAAAAAUAAUUCUUCUACUAUUAAUAAUAAGAACUAAGUGAUCCACUCAGGUGAUCAAAAGAACAAGUUACCGCAGGGAUAACAGCGUUAUCUUCUUUGAGAGUCCAUAUUGACAAGAAGGUUUGCGACCUCGAUGUUGGAUCGGGACAUCCUAAGGGUGCAGAAGCUCUUAAGGGUUGGUCUGUUCGACCAUUAAAGUCCU